CUCUAUAUUUAGUUUUUUUUAAGGAAUCUCCAAACUGUUCUCCAUAGUUCCAAACCCCAGUUGUAAGUAAUGUGAGUGAUAUAGAAAUUGCGUUUCUUCUUAAAUCUUACCCUUCAGGGUGUUCCCUUGUGGCGCAGCAUGUUAAGGAUCUGGUGUUGUCGCUGCAGCAGCUCAGGAUGCUCUUGUGGCACAGGUUCAGUCCCUGGCCUGGGAACAUCUAUAUGCUAUGAGAACGGCNAAAAAAAAAAAAAAAAAAAAAAAAAAAAAAAGGAAAAGAAAUCUUACCAUGUUAAGAUUGAUUUUUGAAAAUGUGAAAAUUCACAUAAAAAUUAGUUUUUCCAUUAAGUCUUUAGCCCAUACCAAAUUCUCAAAAUUUCUUUGCUAUAAGCAGAUGCAAUUGCCCACCUAUUUUGGAAACAAAUUUUCUUCAAUGGUCUUAUGUAUUUUCUGGUUGAAUGUUUUGCUUCCCUGACCAGAUUAUAAACUCUGAGAGUUCAUUUUUUUAUGACCUCUGAGACCCUCAAAGCCUUGCAAAAGAGCAAGCACCAAGCAUUUAAUCCUUUUUUAUUUAAGUGCCUAAGCAGAAGGAACUGACUCAAACUUCAGGAAGUAGCUGUGAGGACAGGGUGGCAGGAAAUGACAGAAAACCUGAAUACGGAACUGAAGCAGCAGCUCAGAAUUUCUUGCUCUGAAGUCGCAGCAGCUAGAGAGGAGCUGAGUGUCGCUGUGAGGAGCUGAGAGCUGAGAGCUGAGAGCAAACGCUUGCACGGUUGAAGUCACUGCUAGUCGGCUUUUCACCUUUUAUGGCCAGAAGUCCAGGGUGUGGGUGGUUGUGGGUAAUGAGCAUCUGGGGAUAGAAGCAGAAGGAGGAGGCUGGAGCUCAGGGAACAGGAUUUAGCAGCCCUCGACCACCCCUGGUUUCUGCUGACAAUUCACGGCCCUCUCUAAGGCCCCUUGCUCCUAGGUACUGAGUUGGGAGGUGAAGACAGUCUGUGCCCUCGGAGGGUGUGUGAGCUAGCAGAGCCAAAACCCACGGGAGACACUGCAACAGAUCCGGAAGUAGUAGUUGCUAAUAUACACCAGUGCUGAGAUCCAAGUGCUAAAAUGAAGGCAUGGUGGUUCCACGAGGGCAGGUUUCUAUGAAUGUUGGAUCAUAGAGUCCCGGGGUGUCAGAAUGGAGGGGACUUGAUGGAUUCGCAAGGAUAACCUCUUUGUUUCUUUUCCAUUGGGAAAAACAGUAUCAGGGAUGUUCAAUGAUUUACCAAAUUGUUUUCAUUGAUAUUUGUCAUUUGCUUAGGCUGGUACCUGGCAAAUAAGUACAUAUGGUCUCUAUGUUGACUUCCUGGUCUCUUCUGAUUCCCAGUCUGUGUACUUUUCUGAGGCAGCCUCAUGAUGAAGCCUUGACAUCCUGGACUCCAGGCCUCACCACGUUACUCUGGAUUCCACCUCUAGAUAACAUGUAUGGGCUUCCUUAUUUCUGACCAGUAGCUCAAGGAUACUAAAUUGCCUGUGUCAGAAAGCCUGCCCUUUGUUUCAAAAGUACAUGAGGAUGGGAGGCUUAUGGGAGAGUAAGGCUGAGGCCUGAACAGCAGGAAAGAAGCCGGGACCAUUGGUCCUCCAUGCUGCUUCUCAGCCCACGGAUACUUCAAAAACUUCUAUUUUCCAGUUUUCUAUGUGAAGUCCUUUUGUGGCAGAGUGGCCCAAAAGCCAGGACUAGAGGUGUUAGCUUCAUGGUCCCCAUCCAUUGUUGUUACCCCACAGGGGAAGGCAGGGCUACUCUCAGCAAUGACUCAUCCCACUGUCCAGCUGACUUGGUCAGUACUUCCCCAGUGUCCUCUUUGCAUCUCAUUAACCAGUCUACCCUCGAAUUCCUCUUGUUCUGGUUUCCAAGGGGUUUUUCAAAGAGCUGGAGUAGGUUGGAGUUUUCAAGUGGAAUGCAAAUCAGAGAGGCUGAGUGCCUGGCUGGAGAGACAGGAGGGUCCUAGGAGUGGUUGUAAGAGGGGCUCCUUUAAGAGAUAGGAAAGAGUGUGGGGAAGGAGUCUGAGCAGGGAAGGGUGGGCAGGGGGUUGUCAGCUAGCAAGUGUCAGCAGGGUCAAGAAGUCUCACCACCAGAGCAGAUGAGCCUUGUCUCUUCUUUCCACUUCACAUCAAGAGCCAGGAUCCCAUAGAUAUAGAGCACCUGUACAGCUCCUUACACAGGUCUGGGGGGACCAGCAGAAACACUGGGAAUGCCUCAGUGGCACCCCCUCAAACUGGUGUUCUCUAAAUAUAUCUUUAACAUUUAGUUAAUGACAGUGUAAUAAUUCUUAAUGUUCAAAACCAGGGACUUAUUAUGUACUCUUUUUGGAGAUAGGUAUCUUUGAAAAUAUACUUAAACUGGGAGUUCCCUCGUGGUUCAGGGGUUAACGAACCUGACUAGUAUCCAAGAGGACGUGGUUCAACCCUGGCCUCACUCAGUGGAUUAAGGAUCCGGCAUUGCCAUGAGCUGUGGUUGGUAGGUCACAGAAGUGGCUCGGAUCUGAUGUUGCUGUGGCUGUGGCAUAGGCCAGCAGCUGUAGCUCUGAUUCCAUCCUGAGCCUGGGAACCUCCCUAUGCCAUGGGUGAG
rnacentral:lncRNA from 1 species